rnacentral:lncRNA from 1 species
GCCUUGACUAACACAGGUCAUUGAGCAACAGGAUCAUCAGGUGGCUCACUUUGCUCCCCUCCUCAAGCUUGGAUUGAGUAUGGGUCCAAGCUUGAAGUGAGCCUCAAUGAGCCUUAAGAUCAGGAGCGCAACAUCUCAUAGAGUGCGCUUCAACCACUGAUCAACCCUUCCCUUUAUCUCCAAUGCCUUCUGGUCACCGGUCUCCUCUAGACUUAGGUGAUGACCACUCGCCUUGUGUAUCCACACACACACCACAGCGACCAUUCCCAAUGGGUAAAGUCUUCCUCUUCUGCUCGGAUUGGUGAUGGACAGAGAGCACAUCUUGUGAACCUGAAACAUCACUCAAACUCCAGCAAAGAUAAGACACAAGCAUUGGGAUCAAUCCUUCACGGAUCACCAAGACACACGCAAAGUACCUUGAGCUUUUGAACUCUCAAGAAACUCUCAAACACACUCACUUGUUCUCUUAAAGUUUUAAACUUGAAUCCUUAAGAGAAUCACUCACGAACUCAGAUUUCAAUCAACCUGGCUCUGAUACCAUAUGAGAUUUAAGGAUGUAAAUGAUUAUCUGAGUUUAGAAAGGAUUAUUAUGCAACAGAUUGAAACAAGCAUUAUCAAGUUCACAUCUUUGCAAGCAAUCUCUCUAAGUACAAGCAAGAUCAAAUCAGAUUCAAGACAAGCUACUUAGGCAAUCAACCCUGCCUUAAUCCGCAAUCAUAGACAUCCAUCUAUGUGCUCAAUGUUAAGGCAGCAACAAGAUGACAAUAUGCUGUGACCUUAAUCAGUUUCUAGCUCAUGUAUGCAAUAAGAUCAGCCAAUGCUUUCUAUUAUCCUAACACACAUCACUUAUAACUGAGGCAAAGCAAUAUUAAUCAUCAAUCAACAUCAGACAAUGCAAAACCUUAAGUGAUUUCAGUUUAAUGAAAGCUAAUAGGAUUUAGACAGUUUCUAACAUCCUAGCACAAUCAUAACCAAACCGGGUAAGCAUUUUAUUUCUCAACAUCAAACAAGACUCUUAAAGCAUCCUGGGACUGAACUAGACAAUAUAAUAUAGCAUUUCAUAUCAAGAACCCACGGAUUGCAACACUACACAACACAACACACAACCAGUUUCAAUCACAAGCUCAUAUCAAGAAGGUUUAGGAUUAGCUUACAACCAAGGAACCUGAGCUGGUUCCUUGAGCCUCCUUGGUUAUAGGUCACGAAUCUGAUGGGUAAGAGAGCUGGAUCGUCACCCAACACCCUCUCCUUGUGUUCAUAACCUUCUCCUUGAAACCACAACUCAAAAGGCUCCACCUUUCUUCACAGCUCCAAGUCACCAACUUCAGGAACAAGGGGAAAGCUUUCUUCUUGAAUGGUUUCAGCUUGGACCAGAGUUGAGACACACCUUUAAUGGACUGGAGAGAGGAGGCACGACCAUGAUAAACCUCCUUGGCUUCAUACACCUUCUUCUUGAAGAGAGAGAACCAAAAGGACAGAUCUUCAAUGGCUUGGAUUUGAGAUGAGACUAGGCUUGUGAUGUAUAUGCGGAAGCUGGAACCAAGUUCUGAUGAACCUGGCUCUGAUACCAUGUUAGGUUUUCAGAGCUCAGGCUGUGUGUGUGAGAAGAAGCCACUAAGGGCGAAAUGAGAGCUUGAACUGAAGAGAGAAAGGUCUGAUGAAGAACAGUAUGAACUUGGACAGAAACAAGAGAUUUAGAGAGAUUAAGAGAUUUAAGUAUAAGAAAGGGGUAGUUUGAGGGAUUCUUAUCCAAGAACACACUUUGUAUUAUGAAGGAGGAGGGGAAAUCCCCCUCUCUCUCUUGAGAGACACAAAAACGUCCAUACAUAGCUUAUUUAUAAGCUUUACACAUUGCAAACUCAUAAACCCUUAAUCUAAUGGAUAGAAAUGACUGAAUUGAAAUAGAUGGCUAGGAUGGAGUCUGGUGGGUUGGUGAGGACGUGAUGGAUGCUGAUUGGUUGAUUCAAACUGGUCAAAGCAAGGGCUGGCUCCUGAUUGGUUCCCUUAAGGCUCCCAUGAACCUUAUUCACAAAGAUGUCUAGAUACAUGGUCAAGGCUGCUUUUCCUUUACAGCUCAAAGACAGCCUGUCAUUGACCACGCCCUAGCUCUCCCUUAUCCACAAACAGUCACAAGAUAACUCAGGUUUGUCUUCUCUUGCGCCGUAAGUUUGCACAGCUUCAUUUCAGGUUGAUCCGGAACAAGUACGGUCGAUGGUACGGACCGCCCAUCCGUACCUCGCCCUAUUUUUGUACCAACUCCCAAUCUGACUCCAAAUGGUGUCUAAGUAUGUCUAAGUCCCUCCUGGACUUGACCCUAACUUUGCACACCUCAUUUGGAUACUUCUGGACACUCCUGAACACUCCUAAAGCCUUGAUAGACAAUCUCCGGAGGUCUUGCCCUAUUCUUGCUCAAGACCCAAACUCAACCCAACUCCUCCAUUGGCUCCAUUUCUUUCUUCAAGUCAACACUCCCCCUCAAGCUUGACUCUAGGUGAUCCUAAGCCAAGCUUGGAACCUUGAAGAACUCCCUCAUUAAAAACCUCACCAAGGAAAACCCUUUGGGACAAAACCUUGAUGAGGGAAAAAGAGUAGAGCCUUCAAGGCCUAGGGAUUGGCCAGUGAGCCUAUGUGCCUUAGUAUCACUGAGGUUUAGGCACAUAGGCUCUGGAUCACGGCCUCUUCACUUCACCACACCUUCUUAGACUCUUCUAUAGAACCGGCUUAGUGUCUCCCCCUUUCACCUGACUUCAUGCCAUCUUGAAAGGCUAGGAACGACCUGAUCCUCUCCAUUGAGUCUCCAAGUAAGGUACCUGAUACAUCAUUCCACAAGUGUAUCAGUUCUCAAGAGAUAAACCUAUCAUGAAUGUAUAUAAAGAGAUUGAUCAGGUUUACUCCCUUGUUUAAAUGUUGAGGAGUGGCUGCUCUUCACACACCACUUGAAUCCCUCACUUGCUGAGCUUAACAGCUCCUUCUCUUAUCAUGCAAGCUCAUCCACACUCCCCCUCAAGCUUGAGACCGAGUAUAGGAAAGGUCCAAGCUUGAUAGUGAGCGCAUGUUAGCUCCAUGAUAAGCCUUGUGGAGAGCACCUCCAUCUCUUUCAGACUUGAUGCUUGAAUCCUCCACUACAUCACCAUUGCACUGAGGAGAUACCUCAGCCCACUCUCCAAGCAUCUCACACUAGCUUGUUGAGUGACUUUCUUCUUCCCUCCACUUCGGCUGGAUCACUCCAUGAUCAGCUUGCAAUGGCCUUGACUAACACAGGUCAUUGAGCAACAGGAUCAUCAGGUGGCUCACUUUGCUCCCCUCCUCAAGCUUGGAUUGAGUAUGGGUCCAAGCUUGAAGUGAGCCUCAAUGAGCCUUAAGAUCAGGAGCGCAACAUCUCAUAGAGUGCGCUUCAACCACUGAUCAACCCUUCCCUUUAUCUCCAAUGCCUUCUGGUCACCGGUCUCCUCUAGACUUAGGUGAUGACCACUCGCCUUGUGUAUCCACACACACACCACAGCGACCAUUCCCAAUGGGUAAAGUCUUCCUCUUCUGCUCGGAUUGGUGAUGGACAGAGAGCACAUCUUGUGAACCUGAAACAUCACUCAAACUCCAGCAAAGAUAAGACACAAGCAUUGGGAUCAAUCCUUGACUAAUCAUCAAGUUUGAUCUCCAAUGUCACAAGCUAUGCAACAGAUUGAAACAAGCAUUAUCAAGUUCACAUCUUUGCAAGCAAUCUCUCUAAGUACAAGCAAGAUCAAAUCAGAUUCAAGACAAGCUACUUAGGCAAUCAACCCUGCCUUAAUCCGCAAUCAUAGACAUCCAUCUAUGUGCUCAAUGUUAAGGCAGCAACAAGAUGACAAUAUGCUGUGACCUUAAUCAGUUUCUAGCUCAUGUAUGCAAUAAGAUCAGCCAAUGCUUUCUAUUAUCCUAACACACAUCACUUAUAACUGAGGCAAAGCAAUAUUAAUCAUCAAUCAACAUCAGACAAUGCAAAACCUUAAGUGAUUUCAGUUUAAUGAAAGCUAAUAGGAUUUAGACAGUUUCUAACAUCCUAGCACAAUCAUAACCAAACCGGGUAAGCAUUUUAUUUCUCAACAUCAAACAAGACUCUUAAAGCAUCCUGGGACUGAACUAGACAAUAUAAUAUAGCAUUUCAUAUCAAGAACCCACGGAUUGCAACACUACACAACACAACACACAACCAGUUUCAAUCACAAGCUCAUAUCAAGAAGGUUUAGGAUUAGCUUACAACCAAGGAACCUGAGCUGGUUCCUUGAGCCUCCUUGGUUAUAGGUCACGAAUCUGAUGGGUAAGAGAGCUGGAUCGUCACCCAACACCCUCUCCUUGUGUUCAUAACCUUCUCCUUGAAACCACAACUCAAAAGGCUCCACCUUUCUUCACAGCUCCAAGUCACCAACUUCAGGAACAAGGGGAAAGCUUUCUUCUUGAAUGGUUUCAGCUUGGACCAGAGUUGAGACACACCUUUAAUGGACUGGAGAGAGGAGGCACGACCAUGAUAAACCUCCUUGGCUUCAUACACCUUCUUCUUGAAGAGAGAGAACCAAAAGGACAGAUCUUCAAUGGCUUGGAUUUGAGAUGAGACUAGGCUUGUGAUGUAUAUGCGGAAGCUGGAACCAAGUUCUGAUGAACCUGGCUCUGAUACCAUGUUAGGUUUUCAGAGCUCAGGCUGUGUGUGUGAGAAGAAGCCACUAAGGGCGAAAUGAGAGCUUGAACUGAAGAGAGAAAGGUCUGAUGAAGAACAGUAUGAACUUGGACAGAAACAAGAGAUUUAGAGAGAUUAAGAGAUUUAAGUAUAAGAAAGGGGUAGUUUGAGGGAUUCUUAUCCAAGAACACACUUUGUAUUAUGAAGGAGGAGGGGAAAUCCCCCUCUCUCUCUUGAGAGACACAAAAACGUCCAUACAUAGCUUAUUUAUAAGCUUUACACAUUGCAAACUCAUAAACCCUUAAUCUAAUGGAUAGAAAUGACUGAAUUGAAAUAGUGGCUAGGAUGGAGUCUGGUGGGUUGCUGAGGACGUGAUGGAUGCUGAUUGUAUGAUUCAAACUGGUCAAAGCAAGGGCUGGCUCCUGAUUGGUUCCCUUAAGGCUCCCAUGAACCUUAUUCACAAAGAUGGCUAGAUACAUGGUCAAGGCUGCUUUUCCUUUACAGCUCAAAGACAGCCUGUCAUUGACCACGCCCUAGCUCUCCCUUAUCCACAAACAGUCACAAGAUAACUCAGGUUUGUCUUCUCUUGCGCCCUAAGUUUGCACAGCUUCAUUUCAGGUUGAUCCGGAACAAGUACGGUCGAUGGUACGGACCGCCUGUCCGUACCUCUCCUUAUUUUUGCACCAACUCCCAAUCUUCUCAAAUGGUUGAGUCUGAACAUGAUCUUGGUUGCCCUAAGUUCGUACGGUCCGUACCAUCCGUACCGAUGCUCGACCCUAUUUCUGCACCAUCACCCAACUGACUCCAAAUGGUGUCUAAGUAUGUCUAAGUCCCUCCUGGACUUGACCCUAACUUUGCACACCUCAUUUGGAUACUUCUGGACACUCAUGAACACUCCUAAAGCCUUGAUAGACAAUCUCCGGAGGUCUUGCCCUAUUCUUGCUCAAGACCCAAACUCAACCCAACUCCUCCAUUGGCUCCAUUUCUUUCUUCAAGUCAACACUCCCCCUCAAGCUUGACUCUAGGUGAUCCUAAGCCAAGCUUGGAACCUUGAAGAACUCUCUCGUUAAAAACCUCACCAAGGAAAACCCUUUGGGACAAAACCUUGAUGAGGGAAAAAGAGUAGAGCCUUCAAAGCCUAGGGAUUGGCCAGUGAGCCUAUGUGCCUUAGUAUCACUGAGGUUUAGGCACAUAGGCUCUGGAUCACGGCCUCUUCACUUCACCACACCUUCUUAGACUCUUCUAUAGAACCGGCGUAGUGUCUCCCCCUUUCACCUGACUUCAUGCCAUCUUGAAAGGCUAGGAACGACCUGAUCCUCUCCAUUGAGUCUCCAAGUAAGGUACCUGAUACAUCAUUCCACAAGUGUAUCAGUUCUCAAGAGAUAAACCUAUCAUGAAUGAAUAUAAAGAGAUUGAUCAGGUUUACUCCCUUGUUUAAAUGUUGUGGAGUGGCUGCUCUUCACACACCACUUGAAUCCCUCACUUGCUGAGCUUAACAGCUCCUUCUCUUAUCAUGCAAGCUCAUCCACACUCCCCCUCAAGCUUGAGACCGAGUAUAGGAAAGGUCCAAGCUUGAUAGUGAGCGCAUGUUAGCUCCAUGAUAAGCCUUGUGGAGAGCACCUCCAUCUCUUUCAGACUUGAUGCUUGAAUCCUCCACUACAUCACCAUUGCACUGAGGAGAUACCUCAGCCCACUCUCCAAGCAUCUCACACUAGCUUGUUGAGUGACUUUCUUCUUCCCUCCACUUCGGCUGGAUCACUCCAUGAUCAGCUUGCAAUGGCCUUGACUAACACAGGUCAUUGAGCAACAGGAUCAUCAGGUGGCUCACUUUGCUCCCCUCCUCAAGCUUGGAUUGAGUAUGGGUCCAAGCUUGAAGUGAGCCUCAAUGAGCCUUAAGAUCAGAAGCGCAACAUCUCAUAGAGUGCGCUUCAACCACUGAUCAACCCUUCCCUUUAUCUCCAAUGCCUUCUGGUCACCGGUCUCCUCUAGACUUAGGUGAUGACCACUCGCCUUGUGUAUCCACACACACACCACAGCGACCAUUCCCAAUGGGUAAAGUCUUCCUCUUCUGCUCGGAUUGGUGAUGGACAGAGAGCACAUCUUGUGAACCUGAAACAUCACUCAAACUCCAGCAAAGAUAAGACACAAGCAUUGGGAUCAAUCCUUGACUAAUCAUCAAGUUUGAUCUCCAAUGUCACAAGCUAUGCAACAGAUUGAAACAAGCAUUAUCAAGUUCACAUCUUUGCAAGCAAUCUCUCUAAGUACAAGCAAGAUCAAAUCAGAUUCAAGACAAGCUACUUAGGCAAUCAACCCUGCCUUAAUCCGCAAUCAUAGACAUCCAUCUAUGUGCUCAAUGUUAAGGCAGCAACAAGAUGACAAUAUGCUGUGACCUUAAUCAGUUUCUAGCUCAUGUAUGCAAUAAGAUCAGCCAAUGCUUUCUAUUAUCCUAACACACAUCACUUAUAACUGAGGCAAAGCAAUAUUAAUCAUCAAUCAACAUCAGACAAUGCAAAACCUUAAGUGAUUUCAGUUUAAUGAAAGCUAAUAGGAUUUAGACAGUUUCUAACAUCCUAGCACAAUCAUAACCAAACCGGGUAAGCAUUUUAUUUCUCAACAUCAAACAAGACUCUUAAAGCAUCCUGGGACUGAACUAGACAAUACAAUAUAGCAUUUCAUAUCAAGAACCCACGGAUUGCAACACUACACAACACAACACACAACCAGUUUCAAUCACAAGCUCAUAUCAAGAAGGUUUAGGAUUAGCUUACAACCAAGGAACCUGAGCUGGUUCCUUGAGCCUCCUUGGUUAUAGGUCACGAAUCUGAUGGGUAAGAGAGCUGGAUGGUCACCCAACACCCUCUCCUUGUGUUCAUAAC